rnacentral:rRNA from 1 species
CCUACGGGGGACAGCAGUGAGGAAUAUUGGUCAAUGGGCGCGAGCCUGAACCAGCCAAGUAGCGUGAAGGAUGACUGCCCUACGGGUUGUAAACUUCUUUUAUCAAGGAAUAAAGUGCGGCACGUGUGCCUUUUUGUAUGUACUUUAUGAAUAAGGAUCGGCUAACUCCGUGCCAGCCGCCUCGGUAAUACGGAGGAUCCGAGCAUUAUCCUGAUUUAUUGGGUUUAAAGGGAGCGUAGAUGGGUUGUUAAAUCAUUUGUGAAAGUUUGCGGCUCAACCGUAAAAUUGCAAUUGAUACUGGCAGUCUUGAGUAAAGUUGAGGUAGGCGGAAUUCGUGGUGUAGCGGUGAAAUGCUUAGAUAUCACGAAGAACUCCGAUUGCGAAGGCAGCUUACUAAACUGCAACUGACAUUGAUGCUCGAAAGUGUGGGUAUCAAACAGGAUUAGAUACCCCAGUAGUC